UGCAGUCGAACGGUGAAGAGGAGCUUGCUCCUUGGAUCAGUGGCGAACGGGUGAGUAACACGUGAGCAAUCUGCCCUUGACUCUGGGAUAACUGCGGGAAACUGUAGCUAAUACCGGAUAUUACCUUGGAAGGCAUCUUCUGGGGUGGAAAGAAUUUUGGUCAAGGAUGAGCUCGCGGCCUAUCAGCUAGUUGGUGAGGUAAUGGCUCACCAAGGCGACGACGGGUAGCCGGCCUGAGAGGGUGACCGGCCACACUGGGACUGAGACACGGCCCAGACUCCUACGGGAGGCAGCAGUGGGGAAUAUUGCACAAUGGGCGCAAGCCUGAUGCAGCAACGCCGCGUGAGGGACGACGGCCUUCGGGUUGUAAACCUCUUUUAGUAGGGAAGAAGCGACUGGGUUUUCCUGGGAGUGACGGUACCUGCAGAAAAAGCACCGGCUAACUACGUGCCAGCAGCCGCGGUAAUACGUAGGGUGCAAGCGUUGUCCGGAAUUAUUGGGCGUAAAGAGCUCGUAGGCGGUUUGUCGCGUCUGCUGUGAAAACCCGAGGCUCAACCUCGGGCCUGCAGUGGGUACGGGCAGACUAGAGUGCGGUAGGGGAGAUUGGAAUUCCUGGUGUAGCGGUGGAAUGCGCAGAUAUCAGGAGGAACACCAAUGGCGAAGGCAGAUCUCUGGGCCGUAACUGACGCUGA
rnacentral:rRNA from 1 species